rnacentral:rRNA from 1 species
UACGAAGGGAGCGAGCGUUAUUCGGAAUCACUGGGCUUAAAGCGUGCGUAGGCGGAUUUAUAAGUCAGAAGUGAAAUCCUGGGGCUCAACCUCAGAAUUGCUUUUGAGACUGUAAGUCUAGAAUUCGGUAGAGGUUAGUGGAAUGUCCAGUGUAGAGGUGAAAUUCGCAGAUAUUGGACGGAACACCAGUGGCGAAGGCGACUAACUGGGCCGAAAUUGACGCUGAGGUACGAAAGCGUGGGUAGCAAACAGG